AUUGAACGCUGGCGGCGUGCCUAACACAUGCAAGUCGAGCGGUAACAGGUGUAGCAAUACAUGCUGACGAGCGGCGGACGGGUGAGUAACGCUUGGGAAUCUGCCUAUUAGUGGGGGACAACCCGGGGAAACGUCGGGCUAAUACCGCAUACGCACUACGGUGGAAAGCCGGGGACCGCAAGGCCUGGCGCUAACAGAUGAGCCCAAGUCGGAUUAGCUAGUUGGUAGGGUAACGGCCUACCAAGGCGACGAUCCGUAACUGGUCUGAGAGGACGACCAGUCACACCGGAACUGAGACACGGUCCGGACUCCUACGGGAGGCAGCAGUGGGGAAUAUUGGACAAUGGCGAAAGCCUGAUCCAGCGACGCCGCGUGGGGUGAAAGAAGGCCUGCGGGUUGUAAAGCCCUUUCAGUGGGGAAGAAAAAGCCUCGAGCUAAUAUCUC
rnacentral:rRNA from 1 species